rnacentral:lncRNA from 1 species
UGAUGGCAAAACUUCACCUCGCGCCGACCCGUGGUCCUAGGGUCGGGAGCGCCCGACCUCACCGUGAGACUCCGCCUCGCCCGACCCGCGGUCCCAGGGUCGGGAGCGCCCGACCCCUCGCCACAAGACUCCGCCUCGGCCGACCCCGGGCGUAGGGGGUCGGACUCAUCUAGGCCCACAAGAUAAGUAUCUGCCUUGGGCGCAGAUCGGC